CAUGGUCUAAUCACAGGAAGCUUCUCCUCAUUCUUUAGACUCUUCUUUUUUUUCUUUUUAAGACCAAGUUUCGCUCUUGUUACCCAGACUGGAGUGCAAUGGCGCAAUCUCAGUUCACUGCAACCUCUGCCUUCUGGGUUCAAGCAAUUCUCUUGCCUCAGCCCCUGAGUAGCUGGGACUACAGGCUCUCCCAGCAAUAGAGUUUCAAAGUUCAAAAUGAUCUCAGGACAAGGGUUAACUCCGAGCUGCUGCUACUACCUUUACAACAUGGCUUUAAAGCUCGUGGAUGUUCUUUUGUUGACCUCUCAGAAAGAUCUGAAGAAAGCCCUAAGUCCCAGCAAAAAAGGACUAUGUCAGAACCAAAUGUGUAUAUGGAUUUCUCUAAUGGUCUCAAUCAUCAUUGAUACACAGGGUUCCUGUAAAGCUUUUAUGGAAAAAUAGACUGAGACUCAGCUCAAUAGUUUCCAGGAAACAAGACUGGACCCUAGCUAAGCCACUACCUGGAUACCACCAUGGAUACCACAUGAAGAAUUGCCCAGCCAAACUCCAUCCAAAUUUUGAUCCACAAAAUCCUGAGAUAUAACAAAAUGGCUGUUUUAAGCUACUACAUUUUGCAGUGAUUCGUUAUGGUGUAAUAGUUAAUAAACACAUAUUUCAUACUGGUUCUAAAAAUACAUAAUUAUAUUUUCAAUAUCACUAACCUCUAAAGCCAUUGAAUUAAAAUGUAUGCUCUUUGUUAAACUGGACAAAGAGUCUUUGCAGAUGCAACCAAGUUAAGAUAAAGUCUUCCUGGAUUACGGGAGGUUCUAAGGUAAUGACUGCUGUCCUUAUAUAAAGUGGGAAGUUUGGACCUCAUCUUACCAGGUAAAGGCCAUGUGAACAUAGAGGCAGAGAUUGGAGUGAUGCAUUUACAAGCCAAGGAUUGCUGACAACCACCAGAAACAAAGAAGGAAUCUUUCCCUAGAGCUGGCUCUGCUGACAUCUUGACUCUGGACUUCUAGCUUCAAGAACUAUAAGUUAAUAAAUAUCUGUUGUUUUAAGUCACCUGAUUUGUAGACCUUGUUCCUGCAGCCCUGAGUAACUAAUAAAGUCUCCUACA